AGAGAUGGACGGGGGAUCACUCGGCUCGUCCGUCGAUGAAGAGCGCGGCUAUCCGCGUGAACUGAUGCGAAUUGCAGGACUCAGUGAACAUCGACACCUCGAACGCACAUUGCGGCCCCGGGAUCCUAUCGCCCCGGGGCCCCGUCCGGUCGAGAUUUU
rnacentral:rRNA from 1 species